UACGGAGGAUGCGAGCGUUAUCCGGAUUUAUUGGGUUUAAAGGGUGCGUAGGCGGCUUUUUAAGUCAGCGGUGAAAUUUUGCAGCUUAACUGUAACAGUGCCGUUGAUACUGGGGAGCUAGGAUUUGGUUGCUGUGGGUGGAAUGUGUGGUGUAGCGGUGAAAUGCUUAGAGAUCACACAGAAUAUCGAUUGCGAAGGCAGCUCACAAAGCCAAGAUUGACGCUGAGGCUCGAAAGCGUGGGGAUCAAACAGGAUUA
rnacentral:rRNA from 1 species